rnacentral:rRNA from 1 species
ACUCCUACGGGAGGCAGCAGUGGGGAAUAUUGCACAAUGGGCGCAAGCCUGAUGCAGCCAUGCCGCGUGUAUGAAGAAGGCCUUCGGGUUGUAAAGUACUUUCAGUCAGUGAGGAAGGAGUGGGUAUGUUAAUAGCAUACUCAUUUGACGUUAGCUGCAGAAGAAGCACCGGCUAACUCCGUGCCAGCAGCCGCGGUAAUACGGAGGGUGCGAGCGUUAAUCGGAAUUACUGGGCGUAAAGCGCAUGCAGGUGGUUUGUUAAGUCAGAUGUGAAAGCCCGGGGCUCAACCUCGGAAUUGCAUUUGAAACUGGCAAACUAGAGUACUGUAGAGGGGGGUAGAAUUCAGGUGUAGCGGUGAAAUGCGUAGAGAUCUGAAGGAAUACCGGUGGCGAAGGCGGCCCCCUGGACAGAUACUGACACUCAGAUGCGAAAGCGUGGGAGCAAACAGGAUUAGAUACCCUGGUAGGCUCU